CCGUUCGGGGGUAAACGGACAGAGCCCGUGAAUCCGGGCGCGCGGAAUUCAGGACCGACGAGCGCGCGACGCGCCCUCCUCUUCGCGGGGGGGGGUCGUCGCGCGAGCGUCGAUUCGAUAUUUCCGCCGCCGACCCGCUUACUAAACGGGUGCGGACGUCGCGACCCGUUCGCCGCCGGUCUCACGGGGCGCGCAUCAAGUUCGUCGCGCGUUUUCGUCGCCGCGUCCUCUUUCGGGGGGGCGCGAACGGCGGCGCGCGGCGAUGGCGCGCUUUUUCGCGGGCCGGCGUUUUGCGGACGGUAGCCUCGAGCGUGCGGGUAAUCGACGCGGCCGAUCGGCCGACGUUUCCCCGUCGUCGUCGUCGUUUCUUUCACGAGGGCGGCGGCGGCGGCUGGGCGUUGGUCGGGCGCGCGCGUCGACGCCGGUCAGCGACGAAUCUUCGGGCCUCUUUCCGACCCGUCUUGAAACACGGACCAAGGAGUCUAACGUGCGCGCGAGUCGCGGGGUAUCCGAGUCGGUAACGCGAUUCGUCACGAUACGAAACCCGUGUGUACGUACGUUGUGCGAAGGCGUAAUGAAAGUGAAAGGCGCGCGCGUUUGCGCGCGCGCGUCGGGGAAGACGGCGUUUCCGAGUACACGUUUCUCGGUCGUACGGUACCGAGACCGGGCGCCCGCAUUCCCAGGGCGUCCCGCUCGUACGUCGGUGGCGCGGACGCGCGCGGUCGUUUCGGCGGCCGCGCGCGUCGACCGCCGACGAACUGGGGCGCACCUCUAGCGUGCACGUUGGUACCCGAAAGAUGGUGAACUAUGCCCGGCCAGGAUGAAGUCAGGGGAAACCCUGAUGGAGGUCCGCAGCGAUUCUGACGUGCAAAUCGAUCGUCUGAGCUGGGUAUAGG
rnacentral:rRNA from 1 species